UACGAAGGGGGCUAGCGUUGUUCGGAAUCACUGGGCGUAAAGCGCACGUAGGCGGAUUCUUAAGUCUGGGGUGAAAUCCCGAGGCUCAACCUCGGAACCGCCUUUGAUACUGGGGAUCUCGAGUCCGGGAGAGGUGAGUGGAAUUGCGAGUGUAGAGGUGAAAUUCGUAGAUAUUCGCAAGAACACCAGUGGCGAAGGCGGCUCACUGGCCCGGAACUGACGCUGAGGUGCGAAAGCGUGGGGAGCAAACAGG
rnacentral:rRNA from 1 species